GAUGAACGCUGGCGGCGUGCCUAAUACAUGCAAGUCGAGCGAACAGACGAGGAGCUUGCUCCUCUGACGUUAGCGGCGGACGGGUGAGUAACACGUGGAUAACCUACCUAUAAGACUGGGAUAACUUCGGGAAACCGGAGCUAAUACCGGAUAAUAUAUUGAACCGCAUGGUUCAAUAGUGAAAGACGGUUUUGCUGUCACUUAUAGAUGGAUCCGCGCCGCAUUAGCUAGUUGGUAAGGUAACGGCUUACCAAGGCAACGAUGCGUAGCCGACCUGAGAGGGUGAUCCGCCACACUGGAACUGAGACACGGUCCAGACUCCUAAGGGAGGCAGCAGGAGGGAAUCUUCCGCAAUUGGCGAAAGGUUGACGGAGCAACGCCGCGUGGGGGAAGAAGGUCUUCGGAUCGGAAAACUCUGUUAUUAGGGAAGAACAAAUGUGUAAGUAACUAUGCACGUCUUGACGGUACCUAAUCAGAAAGCCACGGCUUACUACGGU
rnacentral:rRNA from 1 species